GACGAACGCUGGCGGCGUGCCUAAUACAUGCAAGUCGAGCGGACAGAAGGGAGCUUGCUCCCGGAAGUUAGCGGCGGACGGGUGAGUAACACGUGGGCAACCUACCCUGUAGAUCGGGAUAACAUCGAGAAAUCGGUGCUAAUACCGGAUAAUCAUUUGAAGUGCAUGCUUCGAAUGUAAAAGAUGGCUCCGGCUAUCACUACGGGAUGGGCCCGCGGCGCAUUAGCUAGUUGGUAAGGUAAUGGCUUACCAAGGCAACGAUGCGUAGCCGACCUGAGAGGGUGAUCGGCCACACUGGGACUGAGACACGGCCCAGACUCCUACGGGAGGCAGCAGUAGGGAAUCUUCCGCAAUGGACGAAAGUCUGACGGAGCAACGCCGCGUGAGUGAUGAAGGUUUUCGGAUCGUAAAGCUCUGUUGUUAGGGAAGAACAAGUGCCGUUUGAAUAAGGCGGCACCUUGACGGUACCUAACCAGAAAGCCACGGCUAACUACGUGCCAGCCGCCGCCGUAAGAC
rnacentral:rRNA from 1 species